CUGAAACAGGACAAGACACAGCGUCGAGACAUGGCGCCUUUACGUGGGGAUUUAUGAUUGAAGAUAUUUUCCAACAAGAAAUAACUAAAAUAGCUGUUAUUGAUUAAAAAAGCGGUGAUUAUACUGUAUGAGCACUCUAUUUGAUGGAACUGUAGCAUCUGUAUAACAGUAACUGCUUUAUGUACUUUGUUUAUUACAAGUAAGGCUAAAUGAUGUCUGUGUUUAAAAACACUUGAGCUUGAUGGUAUAAAUAUAGCUGUGCCAUAGGAAUGAUGUACUGGCAGUAAAUAAACUUUGAAACUUGAAGAACUGGAAGUCAAGCUUGUCUUGGGCUGUUGUGUAAAGUAUGAAAGGGUUGAAAUAUGGCCUUGUUCUUUUCUUCAUAUUGUGUUUUUUGUCUUCCUGCUGUGUAAAAUGGUUGUGGUUGAAUGGCGAAUCUUUGGAGAAUCCAAUUGAACUGGAAAACAAAAAGGAAAAGCGUCAGCUGCCUCACCAUAUGAAAAAAAGAAGAUGUGGUUAUUCUAGAGUAAUAUUUUGUAAAGGAAGACGUUCAAAAAUCUUUAUGGACAAUAAAUAAAUGUAUUCAUUAAAGUGUAUUGUUCAUUGUUCGUUUAUUAUCAGCUUAUUCUAUCAAACACUAAAAUUAUACAAAUAUAAUUGUAUGAAAAUAUAA